UGGGAACGUACCAUUUGCUACGGAAUAACUCAGGGAAACUUGUGCUAAUACCGUAUGUGCCCGAAAGGGGAAAGAUUUAUCGGCAAAUGAUCGGCCCGCGUUGGAUUAGCUAGUUGGUGGGGUAAAGGCCUACCAAGGCGACGAUCCAUAGCUGGUCUGAGAGGAUGAUCAGCCACACUGGGACUGAGACACGGUCCAGACUCCUACGGGAGGCAGCAGUGGGGAAUAUUGGACAAUGGGCGCAAGCCUGAUCCAGCCAUGCCGCGUGAGUGAUGAAGGCCCUAGGGUUGUAAAGCUCUUUCACCGGUGAAGAUAAUGACGGUAACCGGAGAAGAAGCCCCGGCUAACUUCGUGCCAGCAGCCGCGGUAAUACGAAGGGGGCUAGCGUUGUUCGGAUUUA
rnacentral:rRNA from 2 species